rnacentral:rRNA from 1 species
AACCAACAGGGAUUGCCUUAGUAGCGGCGAGUGAAGCGGCAAAAGCUCAAAUUUGAAAUCUGGCGCCUUCGGUGUCCGAGUUGUAAUUUGAAGAUUGUAACCUUGGGGUUGGCUCUUGUCUAUGUUUCUUGGAACAGGACGUCACAGAGGGUGAGAAUCCCGUGCGAUGAGAUGCCCAAUUCUAUGUAAGGUGCUUUCGAAGAGUCGAGUUGUUUGGGAAUGCAGCUCUAAGUGGGUGGUAAAUUCCAUCUAAAGCUAAAUAUUGGCGAGAGACCGAUAGCGAACAAGUACAGUGAUGGAAAGAUGAAAAGAACUUUGAAAAGAGAGUGAAAAAGUACGUGAAAUUGUUGAAAGGGAAGGGUUUGAGAUCAGACUCGAUAUUUUGUGAGCCUUGCCUUCGUGGCGGGGUGACCCGCAGCUUAUCGGGCCAGCAUCGGUUUGGGCGGUAGGAUAAUGGCGUAGGAAUGUGACUUUACUUCGGUGAAGUGUUAUAGCCUGCGUUGAUGCUGCCUGCCUAGACCGAGGACUGCGAUUUUAUCAAGGAUGCUGGCAUAAUGAUCCCAAACCGCCCGUC